UGGGGUGUAGUUCAGCGGUAGAACGACCGGCUGUUAACCGGUAUGUCGCAGGUUCGAGUCCUGCCUCCCCAGCCA
rnacentral:tRNA from 1 species